rnacentral:rRNA from 1 species
AUGGCCGUCGUGCCGGUGGUGUGCCCCUUCCCCACGCUCCCCUCGCCCUCCUCCUCCCUCAGCACGUCCAUGCGCCGUCUUCACGUCCGUGCGGGCUCGCCGCCAGCGGCGGCCGCCUCGCCACGCGAGCAGCAGAGCGCUAGGGGAGCGGUGGGCGUGGGGGAGAGGAGGCGGCGGCAGGAGGAGGAGAAGGUCGAGGCCGACCCGGAGGAUCUCGAGCAGCAGAGGAAGGAGGAGGUGAACCGCAAGAUCGCCUCCCGGAAGGUGCUCUCCAUCAUCCUCCGGCGCGGGGCCACCAAGGCCGUUCUCGACAAGCGCGAGAUCGGCAAGGGCACCCGUCGCCUCCUCCCCCGCACCGUCCUCGAGGCCCUCCACGACCGCGUCGUCGUGCUCCGCUGGGAGUCCGCCCUCAAGGUCUUCUUCUUCCUCGAUCUGGUGCAGCAGCAACAAUUCAAGGAUCUGUUGGCCGGUCUUCAAUUCUUCAUGCUGCUGCUGCUACUGCUACAUGAGGACCCUCUUCAAUUCUGCAUCCGUUGCGGCCGCCGCAGCUUCCACUUCCAGAAGACCACCUGCUCCUCGUGCGGUUACCCGGCCGCCCGCAUCCGCAAGUGUAAGAUCCCCCUCCCUCUGUCCUAG